rnacentral:lncRNA from 1 species
GCUCCGCCCCCUCGCUCCAUUCUUCCCAGGUCUAGGGGUUCACCCGGUGGUUGCCGGGUACCCCGGAAGGCCGGGACUCGAUGGUACCAAUGGAGACGCAACUGCAGAGCAUUUUCGAGGAGGUGGUGAAAACAGAAAUUAUAGAAGAGGCUUUCCCAGGCAUGUUUAUGGAUACCCCCGAGGAUGAAAAAACAAAACUUAUUAGCUGUUUGGCAGCCUUCCGGCAGUUUUGGAAUGGACUUUCUCAGGAGUCUCAUGAACAGUGUGUCCAGUGGAUUGUUAAAUUUAUUCACGGCCAACAUAGCCCGAAAAGGAUUUCCUUUCUCUAUGACUGCUUAGCCAUGGCAGUUGAGACUGGUCUUCUUCCACCCAGGAUGGUUUGUGAAUCUUUGAUAAACUCUGACAC